rnacentral:lncRNA from 1 species
AUUUAUAAGAUUUUUUUGUAACGGUGAUUUAAUAUGUUGCUUUCUUACUUUAAGGAUAGUAGCUGUUUUAAAAAUUCGUUACUCUGAUGAAAAAAAGUAAAUUAGGAAAAAAUACCGAACUCGAGGAAAAUUCUAAACGAAAAAGACCCUAAGCAAAUGGAAAAAUCAGCAGCUCAUACACCUCAUACGAAUGAAUAACAACUGUCAUAUUCAUGACUAGGUACAGGCAC